rnacentral:rRNA from 1 species
GAUGAACGCUAGCUACAGGCUUAACACAUGCAAGUCGAGGGGCAGCACAGUGUAGCAAUACAUGGGUGGCGACCGGCGCACGGGUGCGUAACGCGUAUCCAACCUUCCCGUUACUCUUGGAUAGCCUUCCGAAAGGGAGAUUAAUACAAGAUGGUAUUCAAAUUCCGCAUGUUAUUUGAAUUAAAGAUUUAUCGGUAACGGAUGGGGAUGCGUGACAUUAGGUAGAUGGCGGGGUAACGGCCCACCAUGCCUACGAUGUCUAGGGGUUCUGAGAGGAAGGUCCCCCACACUGGAACUGAGACACGGUCCAGACUCCUACGGGAGGCAGCAGUGAGGAAUAUUGGUCAAUGGUCGGAAGACUGAACCAGCCAAGUAGCGUGAAGGAUGAAGGUUCUAUGGAUUGUAAACUUCUUUUAUACGGGAAUAAAACACCUUACGUGUAGGGUCUUGUAUGUACCGUAUGAAUAAGCAUCGGCUAACUCCGUG